rnacentral:rRNA from 1 species
UAGGGAAUCUUCCACAAUGGGCGCAAGCCUGAUGGAGCAACGCCGCGUGAGUGAAGAAGGUCUUCGGAUCGUAAACUCUGUUGUUAGAGAAGAACAUGCAGGAGAGUAACUGUUCUUGUAUUGACAGUAUCUAACCAGAAAGCCACGGCUAACUACGUGCCAG